GAUGAACGCUAGCUACAGGCUUAACACAUGCAAGUCGAGGGACCGGCGCACGGGUGAGUCACACGUAUCCAACCUGCCCUUUACUCGGGGAUAGCCUUUCGAAAGGCAGAUUAAUACCCGAUAUCUAGGAUGGGGAUGCGUUGCAUUAGGUUGUUGGUGAGGUAAAGGCCCACCAAGACUACGAUGGAUAGGGGGUCUGAGAGCAACGUACCCGACAUUGGAACUGAGACACGGUCCAAACUGCUACUGGAAGCAGGAGUGAGGAGUAAUUGUCAAUGGGCGUUAGCCUGAAACAGCCAGUUAGCGUGAAGGAUGAAGGCUUAUGGGGCGUAAACUUCUUUGAUAUAAGAAUAGGUAUUAAAUGAAUAAGGAUCGGCUAACUCCGUGCCAGCAGCCGCGGUAAUUC
rnacentral:rRNA from 1 species